rnacentral:tRNA from 1 species
UGUAGCUCAGUUGGCAGAGCACUCGACUGUUAAUCGAGUUGUCGUAGGUUCGAGCCCUACCG